rnacentral:rRNA from 1 species
AAUUACUUUGAACAAAUUAGAGUGCUUAAAGCAGGCUCCAAAUGCCUGAAUAUUUUGUGCAUGGAAUAAUGAAAUAAGACCUCUGUUCUACUUUCAUUGGUUUUUAGAUCAAGAGGUAAUGAUUAAUAGAAGCAGUUUGGGGGCAUUAGUAAUACGACGCGAGAGGUGAAAUUCUUGGACCGUCGUAAGACUAACUUAAGCGAAAGCAUUUGCCAAAGAUGUUUUCAUUAAUCAAGAACGAAAGUUAGAGGUUCGAAGGCGAUCAGAUACCGCCCUAGUUCUAACCAUAAACGAUGCCAGCUAGCAAUUGGGUGUAGCUACUUUCAUGGCUCUCUCAGUCGCUUCCCGGGAAACCAAAGCUUUUGGGCUCCGGGGGAAGUAUGGUUGCAAAGCUGAAACUUAAAGGAAUUGACGGAAGGGCACCACCAGGAGUGGAGCCUGCGGCUUAAUUUGACUCAACACGGGAAAACUUACCAGGUCCGAACAUAAGUGUGUAAGACAGAUUGAUAGCUCUUUCUCGAAUCUAUGGGUGGUGGUGCAUGGCCGUUCUUAGUUCGUGGAGUGAUUUGUCUGGUUAAUUCCGAUAACGAACGAGACUCAAAUAUAUUAAAUAGAUGCUUUCAGGAUUAUGGUGCUGAAGCUUGUGUAGCCUUCAUUCAUGACUGCAGUAAAAUGUAUAAGUGUUUGAAUGUGUUUAUUCAAGUGGAGCCGUACCUGUUGGUUUGUCCCAUUAUAAGGACACUAGCUUCUUAAAUGGACAAAUUGCGUCUAGCAAUAAUGAGAUUGAGCAAUAACAGGUCUGUAAUGCCCUUAGAUGUCCUGGGCUGCACGCGCGCUACAAUGAAAGUAUCAACGUGUAUUUCCUAGACCGAGAGGUCCGGGUAAACCGCUGAACCACUUUCAUGCUUGGGAUUGUGAACUGAAACUGUUCACAUGAACUUGGAAUUCCCAGUAAGUGUGAGUCAUUAACUCGCAUUGAUUACGUCCCUGCCCCUUGUACACACCGCCC